CCCGACCCUCUAUCUACUCCCGCAGCGUGCGCGCCUCGGCGUGCGCGGUGCGGCUAACGAACCCCCGGCGCGGCAUGCGUCAAGGAAAACUCAUAGAAGCACCCGCCUCCCGUUGCCCCGUUCGCGGUGCGCGGUGGGGGGAGUGGGCGCCUCUCCAAUGUCAUAACGACUCUCGGCAACGGAUAUCUCGGCUCUCGCAUCGAUGAAGAACGUAGCGAAAUGCGAUACUUGGUGUGAAUUGCAGAAUCCCGUGAACCAUCGAGUCUUUGAACGCAAGUUGCGCCCGAAGCCAUUCGGCCGAGGGCACGCCUGCCUGGGCGUCACGCAUCGCGUCGCCCCCAUCCCCAUCCGCUCAGCAACGAGCAUUCGGGGGCCGGGGGUGGAUAUUGGCCCCCCGUGCGCAUCGCCGCGCGGCCGGCCUAAAUGCGAACCCGUGGCGACUCGUGUCACGACCAGUGGUGGUUGAACAAUCAACUCUCGUGCUGUCGUGCCGGGCCGAGUCGCACGUCGGGCAACUGGUAGACCCAACGGUGCAACCUGAUUGCGCCUUCGACCGCGAC
rnacentral:rRNA from 1 species